UUAACUGAAUCCAUAGGUUAAUGAGGCGAACCGGGGGAACUGAAACAUCUAAGUACCCCGAGGAAAAGAAAUCAACCGAGAUUCCCCCAGUAGCGGCGAGCGAACGGGGAGGAGCCCAGAGCCUGAAUCAGUGUGUGUGUUAGUGGAAGCGUCUGGAAAGGCGCGCGAUACAGGGUGACAGCCCCGUACACAAAAAUGCACAUAUUGUGAGCUCGAUGAGUAGGGCGGGACACGUGGUAUCCUGUCUGAAUAUGGGGGGACCAUCCUCCAAGGCUAAAUACUCCUGACUGACCGAUAGUGAACCAGUACCGUGAGGGAAAGGCGAAAAGAACCCCGGCGAGGGGAGUGAAAAAGAACCUGAAACCGUGUACGUACAAGCAGUGGGAGCCUCUUAAUGGGGUGACUGCGUACCUUUUGUAUAAUGGGUCAGCGACUUAUAUUCUGUAGCAAGGUUAACCGAAUAGGGGAGCCGAAGGGAAACCGAGUCUUAACUGGGCGUUAAGUUGCAGGGUAUAGACCCGAAACCCGGUGAUCUAGCCAUGGGCAGGUUGAAGGUUGGGUAACACUAACUGGAGGACCGAACCGACUAAUGUUGAAAAAUUAGCGGAUGACUUGUGGCUGGGGGUGAAAGGCCAAUCAAACCGGGAGAUAGCUGGUUCUCCCCGAAAGCUAUUUAGGUAGCGCCUCGUGAAUUCAUCUCCGGGGGUAGAGCACUGUUUCGGCAAGGGGGUCAUCCCGACUUACCAACCCGAUGCAAACUGCGAAUACCGGAGAAUGUUAUCACGGGAGACACACGGCGGGUGCUAACGUCCGUCGUGAAGAGGGAAACAACCCAGACCGCCAGCUAAGGUCCCAAAGUCAUGGUUAAGUGGGAAACGAUGUGGGAAGGCCCAGACAGCCAGGAUGUUGGCUUAGAAGCAGCCAUCAUUUAAAGAAAGCGUAAUAGCUCACUGGUCGAGUCGGCCUGCGCGGAAGAUGUAACGGGGCUAAACCAUGCACCGAAGCUGCGGCAGCGACACUAUGUGUUGUUGGGUAGGGGAGCG
rnacentral:rRNA from 1 species